UUUUUUUUUAAAUUUAUUUUAUUUUUUUUUAAAUUUUCAAUUUCACUUGAACUAUAGAAGUAGAGUUGAGACUAAUAAAAGAAGCCUGUCUAAUUUCUUUGACAACCAAACUUGGCCAGUGUGGCUAAUGCUAGGGUUGAUCAUGGGGUACAACUACUGAAUUAGCACUUUCUACUUCUACAUCAUUGAUAGUAACAUUUCUUGCAGGGUAUAAAAACAUUUUGUUUGUUUUAACCCAAUUCUAUAAGUGACCAAUAAAGUUUGUUUGGCUCGACUCUUUUUGUCUUCCGUAGAAUAUGUUAUGUGUUUAAAUGAAGCUCUUAGAUCCACCAGUCUAGUCAACAAACAAAUGUUACUCAACUGACUUUACAAUGUACUUCAUAUAAAGUCAGGUCAAUAUGCACUAUAGGAGUACUGCAUAGAACCUCAAUAGUAUCAUUAGACAACAGUACAGGUCUGGAUAUAAAUGAACAAACAAAAAAAUAUUUGAAUUGUUACUUUUUUGUUCAGU